AGUGAACGCUGGCGGUAGGCCUAACACAUGCAAGUCGAACGGCAGCACAGUAAGAGCUUGCUCUUACGGGUGGCGGGUGGCGGACGGGUGAGGAAUACAUCGGAAUCUACUUUUUCGUGGGGGAUAACGUAGGGAAACUUACGCUAAUACCGCAUACGACCUACGGGUGAAAGCAGGGGAUCUUCGGACCUUGCGCGAUUGAAUGAGCCGAUGUCGGAUUAGCUAGUUGGCGGGGUAAAGGCCUACCAAGGCGACGAUCCGUAGCUGGUCUGAGAGGAUGAUCAGCCACACUGGAACUGAGACACGGUCCAGACUCCUACGGGAGGCAGCAGUGGGGAAUAUUGGACAAUGGGCGCAAGCCUGAUCCAGCCAUACCGCGUGGGUGAAGAAGGCCUUCGGGUUGUAAAGCCCUUUUGUUGGGAAAGAAAAGCAGCAGGUUAAUACCCCGCUGUUCUGACGGUACCCAAAGAAUAAGCACCGGCUAACUUCGUG
rnacentral:rRNA from 1 species